AUUGAACGCUGGCGGCAGGCCUAACACAUGCAAGUCGGACGGUAGCACAGAGGAGCUUGCUCCUUGGGUGACGAGUGGCGGACGGGUGAGUAAUGUCUGGGGAUCUGCCCGAUAGAGGGGGAUAACCACUGGAAACGGUGGCUAAUACCGCAUAACGUCGCAAGACCAAAGAGGGGGACCUUCGGGCCUCUCACUAUCGGCUUAACCCAGAUGGGAUUAGCUAGUAGGCGGGGGAAUGGCCCACCUAGGCGACGAACCCUAGCUGGUCUGAGAGGAUGACCAGCCACACUGGAGCUGAGACACGGUCCAGACUCCUACGGGAGGCAGCAGUGGGGAAUAUUGCACAAUGGGCGCAAGCCUGAUGCAGCCAUGCCGCGUGUAUGAAGAAGGCCUUCGGGUUGUAAAGUACUUUCAGCGGGGAGGAAGGCGGUGCGGUUAAUAACCGCGCCGAUUGACGUUACCCGCAGAAGAAGCACCGGCUAACUCCGUGCCAGCCGCCGCGGUAA
rnacentral:rRNA from 1 species